GCGUUCCGGUUCCCCGGCGGCGGCUUCUCGGGCCUUUCCCCGGGGACAGGCCCGGCCCUCGGGGUUUUUCCCCGCCGUUUCCCGCAUGCUGCCGCCGCUUCCUCCGAACCUCCGGUGGUAGGGGGUUGCCUCUCCCCCCGCAGGGCCCUGUGAGGCGGGCCAGGCCCGCCCGCCUCCAUCUUGUGCCGCCGCGGGCGGGGACGGGAGGGGAGGGAGCCUGCGGGGUGGCGGGGGCGCAGGCCUGUCCUGCUCCGGCGUGGAAAGGGGGGGGACGCGGGUCUUUCGUCGGCUUUUCAUCUUUCAUCGGGCUUAGAACUCCAUAAUUUCCAUGCUGAAAUUUUUCCACGCUGGACAUCUGCCUUGAGGCAAUGAGGUUUUCAGGGAUGACUGGAUACAGGUGGCCUGGAGUUCUGUUUUUCUGAUGAGGAAAGGAACCAGAUGGAAACCAGGUAGAGAAGAAACAAUGGAACAAUUACAUGAGUUCUGGACACAGUACAGCAAAAUGCCAGGGCAUAGCUUAACAAAUCAGCCAUUUCCAAAGAAAAAGAUCCCAAAACAUGAAAGGCUCUGAGAAAAUGUUUGAUCCCAGGCAGUAAACUCGGCAACCUUGUCUCUGACCAGCGCUUUGGAAAAGGGACUCAAAGCUUAUCUGGCAGGUUGGUCUGUCCACAUCAAGGACACAUCCUGUCACUCUGGUGAAGAUUCCCUGUGUUCCUUGCUGCACCAAUCAGUGGUUGAAUCAGCAGAGGGGAUGCCACAUCCUAGUCAGAGCACAGGAGCACAUGCAGCCAUUUGAGCACAAACACCUGGCCUUUUCUUCUCACCAGUCUGUGCAACGGGAUCUAUUCCAGAAUGCUCGGAUUUUCAUGGGUGUUCCCUCCACGAUGGGAAGCAGCUGAUCAGUUAUCCCAGCAAGCACUGAAGGCUUGCUUGCCAGUAUGGAAGGAGACUCUCUCUAUACAGCCUUCCGUGGUGAUCUCCUGGGAGGGGAUGGUUCAGUCCUGUGGUACAGCGUCCCUGCAUACAGAAUUCAUGCCAUAGUCCUGAAACAUGGGGAUUUGCCUCUUCAGCCUGGGAAUGGACUGGCGCAUCACUUCUUAAGGUGAUUUUAGCCCAGUGAACAAUUUGCCUUCACCUAAAGAUGGAGUUUGAAGCUUAGAGGGGAUGUAAUUAAUCACCUUAGAGUCUCUUCCAUUGUACUAGAUCAGAGCAAAGGUCCUUCUAUCCCAGCAUCCAUUCUCUCUCAGGUCACACCGCUGAGAUGAUAGUAUUUGGUAGUUGCAGGUCUGCAACUCUGAUCAAAAAGAGAAACUCUACCCUGUAGUUGGGCAGUUAAUAUAGUAGGCAACAGGGCCCUGACAAGUCAUCUUGUUCAGAGGUUUGAAGUCCUUUUUUUAAACCGUGUGUAUCUAAGCAUUGACCAAAACCACAGACAACUUCUUUGAUAAUCAAACACAGCGUAUGGUUGACUGGGCUGCUGGAGCAGUGGCUGUCUCAUGUUUAUACUACAUCAAAGACAAAAAUAUUUCUCUAGAGCAAUAUUAAACAGGUUUCUUUUUUCAAGAUGGUAAAGGGUCAUUGGUUCCCAGAAUAGGCACUACAUGGAAAAUAUCAAAAUACCUUCAGCUCUGUUUCACCACACAGAUUUUCCACAGUUAAAUUUACUUUCCGUCAUGUAUAUCAGAAGUGUGAGAAAUCUGGAAAACCCUGGACUACCCCAGACUGCUACUUUCAACUGACAUUGACAGGGGCUUACCCUACCUAACAGUAACAAUGAAUGUAAAUAUAUUUUUGAGGUUCCUUGAAAAGUUUGUCCAUUUGAGUCUCUCUAACAGACAAGUACUUGUUUUUUUGGACAACCAUUCUUUUAGUGGGCUGAAACCAAAGAUAGAAGAAGCCAACGGCAAUGACUGCAGUGCUGCUGUGAUAUUUACACAUCACGAGUCACUGCCGUAUGUUCUUUAAUUCUGAUAAAGGGGAAAUAGGGAACAGGGAAAAUAAUUUGGAACCCCAUGGCAACUGGGCAGUCUCCCCCUAUUUCACCCAUUACUCCUCUAAACCAGAGCUGCCAAUGUCCACUGCUGUCUGUAGUCCUUGUACUCUCACACGUGGCACCAGGCUGCCAAGUGACAUGGUAGAUUGAGGGAGGAUCUUUUUUUCAUUAUCUUUUUCAGAGAGACUGAGAUUUUCACUGAAUCUUCUUUCCUGGGUACUGGAUCUAACAAUUUUCCAGCAGUCUCAGCUCAGUAGCCUGCCCUUAGCUAUUCCUCUUUGACUGGUAGAUAAAUCUGUUCAUCCUGACACAUACUCUUUAAUAUAAUUCUCUGCCACUGUCAGCAGGCAGAGGACAAGUGGAAAACAGAAAGCACCAAGUUAACAAUCAAUCCUUACGCACAAUGUAAUGUCAGAAGAGAAAAGGCUGUGGUCUCCCCUCUGCACUGUACUCCAAAUUGGUGCAAUCAGUAUGAAGAUGUGUUAACUGUGCUUUAAUGGCAAUUCCCUUCCUUCUCCUCCCUCCCAGCACCUGCCCCUUCAUCCCACCAAGAAGUGAUUCCUUCUUCCAGGGUGAUUCUGUUACAAACUAUUACCAUGCAGGCAGCAUGGCCAAAAUAGCAGUGCUCUUCCUUAAUCUAUUUGGACAGCUGCUGGAGUUAAAAUGGAGUGCUGCUUGCAGAGAUGUUUAGUCUCCACAUGCCAUACCUUUGUGCAGACCCCUUUGAAGUCUUCUCCCAAGAUGACUAAAUUUUAACCUCCCUCGGCCCUUGGUAUUCUGUAACUCUGGCAAGAGUAUAAAAUGUGUUUUGUUUGGUCUUUUCCUGGUUUCUACAGGCUAAAUCAAUCUAAUUCAAACUCUUUUUUUAAAUAAAAGCUGUUGUUAAAUAAAA